rnacentral:tRNA from 3 species
GCCACUUUAGCUCAGUUGGUAGAGCAGCUGACUUGUAAUCAGCAGGUCGCCGGUUCGAGUCCGGCAGGUGGCU